UUUUGGGGGGUGGGGUGGGGUGGGGGGUUAUUAUAAUAAUAAACCACGCCCCACAGGGUCGAGUCCCUGCCACACUCUCUGAUGUCUACACUCCUCCACGCGACAGGCGCGUGGCAGCACGCACUGUGUAGGAGGAGGAGGAGAGAGAGAGACGCGUCAGUGUAGUCCGGGACGGUGGCGAGAUGAAAGUUUAUUUCCUUUUUUUUUUUUAAAUACAUAUUCGGACGGGACGGACUGCUGAGUGCAGCUGCACGGAGGAGGAUCAACAAGUUGACCGGGAGCAGACAGUCCGACGCCGGGGCAGCGGAGCGAACACCAGCCGCUUUGUUGUCCAAACCUUAUCUCCUGAACCCAAACUAAUACAGAGGAGGAAAGGAGGAGGAGGGUGUGUGUGUGUGUGUGUGUGUGUAGGCUUUUAUUUGUCCACUGCAGGGACACAGGAAUGUCUCUUUAAGUGUCGCAGGGACAAAUGAUACUUCACUGAAACUCGUUUUUUGGGGGGUCUGUGCGUGGGCUGCCUGGUGACAAACUCUCAUGGUAAAUUUAGCCUAAACAAACAAAGGUUUGACAGACUUACAGUGCGCUGGGUCAUAUUUGGGCUGAGGUUGGACAUCAGACACACUCUCACAUCAUCGUGGCCACAUCUGGAAACAAGUAUGAAAACACAAGUGGGGAAAAGCAGCGUUAUGAGCCAAAAAUGUUGACUUUAUAUAACUUUUUUUAUAUAUAUUUUUAUCCUUAAAAGAUGUGGAGACGACUUUCACACCCUCAGUGUGACUGUAAUUUAUUUAGCACAAGAUGACGACGAGAGAAAGCACUCAGAGUUCACAAACCUCUGCUGAGGGCGUUCAGUUUCCCACAAGAUCCAGAUUUCAGCCAAACUAUGAGGUAUCAGGGCCGGACCAAGCCUCUAUGGGGCCCCAAAGCAGAACUUGGAUUUAGGGGGGCCCUCCUUCUGCUUGACUCUUAUUGAUUUUCCUGGUUAAAUAAAUAAAACAAAAGAACAAAAUGCAUUUAUUAGUUGCUAUUUAAUCCAAAUAAGUGUCACUGUUGUUGUUGUUUGACCUCAGAGGGGCCUGAGUAGUCAUUUGUACUUUCAAGUGUAAUGAUACUGAAACUUGAACUAAACAAGUUUAAUGAC